GCAGAGAAAGCCAUAGCAGAUCUGGAAGUCUGGUUUCUGGUCAUACGCGUAUGGCACUAGGCAAUACGCGUAUGAGAUGGUCUGGUACGCGUAUGGCACUAGGCAAUACGCGUAUAGAUGAGGAAGAUGAUGUUUUGAACGUAGUUUGGUCUCUGUUGGUACGCGUAUGGGGAAGGGAUACGCGUAGCAUACGCGUAUGAGAUGGUGUUAC
rnacentral:lncRNA from 1 species